rnacentral:rRNA from 1 species
GGAACAGGACGUCAUAGAGGGUGAGAAUCCCGUGUGGCGAGGAUCCCAGUUCUUUGUAAAGUGCUUUCGAAGAGUCGAGUUGUUUGGGAAUGCAGCUCUAAGUGGGUGGUAAAUUCCAUCUAAAGCUAAAUAUUGGCGAGAGACCGAUAGCGAACAAGUACAGUGAUGGAAAGAUGAAAAGAACUUUGAAAAGAGAGUGAAAAAGUACGUGAAAUUGUUGAAAGGGAAGGGCAUUUGAUCAGACAUGGUGUUUUGCGCCCUCUGCUCCUUGUGGGUGGGGGAAUCUCGCAGCUCACUGGGCCAGCAUCAGUUUUGGCGGCAGGAUAAAUCUGCAGGAAUGUAGCUUGCCUCGGUAAGUGUUAUAUCCUGUAGAAAUACUGCCAGCUGGGACUGAGGACUGCGACUUUACGUCAAGGAUGCUGGCAUAAUGGUUAUAUGCCGCCCGUCU